rnacentral:rRNA from 1 species
GUGCUUAACACAUGCAAGUCGAACGGAAAGGCUUUCUUGCUUGCAAGAGAGUACUCGAGUGGCGAACGGGUGAGUAACACGUGGGUGAUCUGCCCCUAACUUCGGGAUAAGCUUGGGAAACUGGGUCAAUACCGGAUAGGACCACAUUUUAGUGUGUGUGGUGGAAAGUUUUUUCGGUUAGGGAUGAGCCCGCGGCCUAUCAGCUUGUUGGUGGGGUAAUGGCCUACCAAGGCGUCGACGGGUAGCCGGCCUGAAGGGUGGACGGCCACAUUGGGACUGAGAUACGGCCCAGACUCCUACGGGAGGCAGCAGUGGGGAAUAUUGCACAAUGGGCGCAAGCCUGAUGCAGCGACGCCGCGUGAGGGAUGAAGGCCUCGCUAGGACGAAGCUUGACGGUACCUGUCGCGUCGUCUGUGAAAUUCCGGGGCUUAACUUCGGGCGUGCAGGCGAUACGGGCAUAACUUGAGUGCUGUAGGGGAGACUGGAAUUCCUGGUGUAGCGGUGGAAUCGCAGAUAUCAGGAGGAACACCGAUGGCGAAGGCAGGUCUCUGGGCAGUAACUGACGCUGAGGAGCGAAAGCAUGGGGAGCGAACAGGAUUAGAUACCCUGGUAGUCCAUGCCGUAAACGGUGGGCGUAGGUGUGAGCCUCUUCCACGGGGUUCGUGCCGUAGCUAACGCAUUAAGCGCCCCGCCUGGGGAGUACGGCCGCAAGGCUAAAACUCAAAGGAAUUGACGGGGGCCCGCACAAGCGGCGGAGCAUGUGAUUAAUUCGAUGCAACGCGAAGAACCUUACCUGGGCUUGACAUGUACAGGAUCGGUUAGAGAUAGUUUUUCCUUUUUAGGUCUGUAUACAGGUGGUGCAUGGUUGUCGUCAGCUCGUGUCGUGAGAGUUGGGUUAAGUCCCGCAACGAGCGCAACCCUUGUCUUAUGUUGCCAGCACAUUUUGGUGGGGACUCAUGAGAGACUGCCGGGGUUAACUCGGAGGAAGGUGGGGAUGACGUCAAAUCAUCAUGCCCUUAUGUCCAGGGCUUCACACAUGCUACAAUGGUCGGUACAACGCGCUGCGAGCCUGUGAGGGUAAGCGAAUCGCUGAAAGCCGGUCUCAGUUCGGAUUGGGGUCUGCAACUCGAGCCAUGAAGUCGGGUCGCUAGUAAUCGCAGAUCAGCAACGCUGCGGUGAAUACGUCCCGGGCCUUGUACACACCGCCCGUCACG